UGCACGUGGUGAAGUUCUAGGACAUGAUUCCAAAAAUGAAGCAGAUCCAAAUCUCAGGUCGACCACAAAACAGGAAAUAUUUGUUUUUGUUUUUGUUUUUUUUUGUUUUUCCUUUUAUCCAUGUCUGUGUAACCUUAUCAAAUGGCAGAUAAACAUUAUGGUGGGCCCCAGGAAGUUUUCAAUGGUGAGCAUUCAAUGAUCAGCUUCAUUUGGGGGACGCGGAUUAGCUACUGAAAGGUUGAGUAGGCAGAUUCGCUACUGAAGUUACGUAAUCAAGUUCUAUGAGCCUUACUAUGAUAUAUGUGUUGUAUCCACACCAUCCAUUCAUUUGAAGAGAUCAUUUUAGAUCAUGAGCCAAAGAAUGAGAUAGAUCCAAAGCUCAAGUGAACCCCACCACAGAAAACAGUGGGGGCAGUGACACCCACCGUUGAAACCUUCCUAGGGCCCACCAUGAUGUUUAUUUGAGAUCCAAUCUGUUAAUAAGUAAAUACAGACAUGGACGAAGGUAAAACACAAUUAUCAGCUUGAUCGAAAACUUCUGAGGCCCCCAAGCAGUUUUUUUAUUGUAGGCGUUCAAUCCCUACUGUUUUCUAUGGUGGGGUCCACUUGAGCUUUGAAUCUUUCUCAUUUUUCGUCUCAUGCCCUAAAAUGAUCUGUUAAAAUGGAUGGACAGUAUGGAUAUAACACAUACAUCAUGGUGGGGCUCACAGAACUUGGUGAUGCCACUUCAGUAGCAAGAUGCCAAGAUGGGUACUGACCUUGUCAAUAGCUAAUUCGCGUCCCAUUUGGGGCUCGUACCAUAAUGAGCUGGCAAAACGGAUGGACAUCAUGGAUAUACAAUAAAUACAUCAAGGUGGGCCACAAGGUCAGAGCCUCACCGUGUUGGGUGAGGCCGGGACCACACCUAACCCUGUCCACCAGGUGAGUUCAAUCAAUUGGUAAGCUUAAAGGUUCUUAUCAUAAGUGGAAAUGAAUUGUCAGGUAGGAUUCCACUCUCGCUGUACAAUCUCUCGUCUAUUAAUGCUUUCGACGCGGAGAGAACAAGAUGCAUUGAAAAUCUUCCAACUAACAUAGGCCUCACUCUUCUUUAUCUCCAAACAUUUUUUGCCGGAGGAAACCUAGACCAGUUUCAUUAUCCAAUGCUUCGCGACUUGCAUAUAUUUCCCUUGCAGCCAAUCAUUGGGCCUGUUUAGUUUUCCUAUUACAAUGGUAAAUGGCGGUAAAUGGGUGAUCAUUAUUUACUCUUGUAAUUGUGUGGUGACAUCAUUUACAUUUGACUGCAAUUAUGAUUUUGCUAUAUUAUUUAUUUCAACCACGGAUCACUGUAAAAAUGAUAGUUUUAUAAUGUGAAAAUAUAAUGAUUAUAAUUUACUUUACCUACUUCCUUUGCAAGUGUAACUUGACUCUCGGUGUACAGGCCAUAAUUCUUGUUUAAACAAACACCUGAAAAUGAUAAUGCUGGCGUAUUUACUUUGCAUUUUAUAAAAAAUUGGAAACCAAACAGGUCCUUAGCAGAUCCGUGCCUAUGAAUUUUGGAAGCUUGAAGGGCCUCACCAGGCUAUAUUUGGGUGGCAAUCAACUUGGAAUUGGGAAAGCUCGUAACUUGAGUUUUCUCAAUUCGUUGACCAAUUGCGGUAACUUACAAGAAUUGGAUGUAAGCAAUAAUAGUCUCAGCAGUGCAUUGCCCGACUCCAUGGCUAAUCUUUUGACUCAACUGAGCUUCCUAUAAUAACAGGUACUAUUCCCAUUGGUGUUGGGAAGCUUAACAAGGUGAAGGUACUUUGCUUGGGGUGAAAUGAAUUAUUAGGGCAAAUUCCAUCUUCCUAGGGCAACAUUUCCCGAUUGUACAGACUUAGGGCCUGUUUCUUCACCAAUUACUACAGUAAUGUGAAGGAAAUCUGCAAUGAUUACAAAUUACUUUACCUGUGUCUCCUGAAACAUCUGCAUUUGACUGUCCAUUCCCGUGUUUGGUUUAUUGGUGGCAAGAUUGUAAUGAUGACAUUUUUGCAUUAGUUUGAUGUCAAAUCAUCACCAAAAUACAUUGAUGUUGCUGUUUGGUUUCGAGAUUUUCACGGUAAUGCUAUGAGUAGUACAAUGAUUACAAAUUCCUUGUCUCCCGAACGCAUCAUCAUUGGACCAAUGAUUCUCGUGUUUGGUUUGUUGGUGGUAAAAUCAUAAUGACGACACAUUUCAAUUACAUUAUUGAGGUAAUUGGCGAAACAAACAAGCACCUAGUUUAUUUAGAAACAAUCUAUCGGGAGCAUACCUUAUUGUCUUGGAAAUUGUACAUGCAUGCAGUUCAUAAGCUUCAAUAUUAAUAAUCUUAGUGGUAGCUUACCCAAACAACUUUUCAGCUUUCUCUCUAUAAUUGAAGUUUAUGUUGGAAAAAAAAUAAAAAACUCUUUUACCGGUAAUCUGCCAUUAGAAGCCAGUUACUUGAAAACUCUCUCAGUAUUGAUUGUUUCGGAUAACAAAUUGUCAGGCAAAAUUCCAAGCUGGCUAGGCAAUUGUCUCAGCCUAGGGUAUCUCCAGUUGGAUGGGAACUUCUUUCAAGGAUCAAUUCCUCCGAUGUUUAGCACUAUAAGAGGCCUUGUAUACUUAGAUCUUUCACACAACAACUUGUCUGGAAAGAUUCCACAAUACUUGAAGAACCUUUCUUUGAGGUAUCUUGAUCCAUCUUUCAAUAAUUUAGAGGGCGAGUUACCAAAACAAGGGAUCUUUAGAAAUGCCAGUGAAGUUUCAGUACUUGGAAAUCGUAAGCUUUGUGGGAGUAUUCAAGAAUUGCAAUUGCCAGCAUGCUCUAGCCAAGAUUCCAAGAAAUGGGUGAUGUCUCUUGAUUCAAAAGUAAAAAUCUCAGUAAUUGGUGUUGUCAUGUGUCUUAUUGCAUUAUCAUGUUUCUUUACUGCUAUUUAUUGGGUAAGAAAAUCAAGAAGGAAAUCUUUUUCUUUUCCUUCUGUGUUGGAUCCUUGCAUGAACUUGUCAUAUGCAGAGCUCUUUAAAGCGACAAAUGGCUUCUCUUUUGCAAAUUUGAUUGGCACUGCAAAAUUUGGUUUUGUAUAUAAUGGAACAUUAGAUCGAGAUAGAACUGUUAUUGCAGUGAAAGUCAACCUUCAACAACAAGGAGCUCUGAGGAGCUUCAUGGCCGAAUGCAAAGCCCUGAGAAACAUUAAGCAUCAAAAUCUUAACUUGUUGCUCAAGUAUUCAUUUUAAUGGAAACGAGUUCAAGGCUUUAGUUUUUUAGUACAUGCCCAAUGGAAGUCUAUUGAUGUGACUUUUGCACUGGAUUAUCUGCAUCACCAAUUGCCAAACACUAGUCGUUCAUCGCGAUUUAAAACCGAGCAACAUUCUCCUUGAUAAUGACAUGAUUGCUCAUGUGGGUGACUUUGGGUUAACGAGGUUCUUAUCUGAAGUUGCUCAAGCUAGCUCUGUUGGCGUGAAGGGAUCUACUGGGAACAUCACUCAAGAGUAUGCAAUGGGCGUUAAAGCAUCUACACGAGGAGAUGUUUACAGCUAUGGAAUCCUUCUAUUGGAGAUGAUAACUGGAAAGGAGCCAACUGAUGACAUGUUUAAUGACAAUCCAAGCCUUCAUAACUUUGUUGAGUUGGCAUUGUUUGAACAAGUAAUGGAGAUUGUAGAUCCAUUUCUCUUAGAAGCUGAAGUCACUCAAGGCAGCGGAAAUCAUAUCAAUACAAGAAAUAGAAUGGGUGGCUGCUUGAUUUUAACGGUCAGAAUCGGUGUGUCAUGUUCUGCAGAAUCUCCAAGAGAACAAAUGGAGAUGAAAGAUGUUGUCACAAAAAUGCAUGCAAACAAGGACUUGUAUCUCAGGGUUGGAAUUCACCAAGACCAACAAGUUAGAUCACAGCCGUUAGGUGAAGGUCCAUCUUACUUGACUCAUUACUGAGAUGUUAUUGGUAGUUAUGUUGAAAAAGAUUUCAAAAUAAAAUUACUUUGCUGAAUACUUUUCUUGACAAGCUUUAGAUAUGUUGUCUUGUCUUAGGAGUGUGCUUUUAUUGUUGGCGACCAUAUGGGAAGAUAUCUUUCUUUUUCUUUGUUUUAUUUCAUGUUAGGCAAAGGGAGAUUGUAUCGUCAAUAUAUUAAGACAAAAACAUCGUCUUGUUACAAUAAGAAUACUAUUGGCCGAUUGAGAUGUUUAAUCUCUAAAGCAUUUUAUUCAA